GUAUAAUGAUGAAACCCAUGCGUGUCAGCUGACUCUGUAAACCCCUGCUAUGUUGUUGCUCUGGUUGGCGUUCUGCUAACUUGAGUCAGUGACACAGCAGGGGUCCAGGGACAUGAUCAGAAAUCACUACUUCUGAAUAC